GGAGUGAACGCUGGCGGCGUGCUAACACAUGCAAGUCGACGAGUCAUCAUUUUUGAAGCAAUUAGCUUGCUAAGAGUGGAAAUGUUGAUGACUUAGUGGCGGACGGGUGAGUAACGCGUGGGUAACCUGCCAUAUACAGGGGGAUAACACUUAGAAAUAGGUGCUAAUACCGCAUAAGCGCACAGUAUUGCAUGAGACAGUGUGAAAAACUACGGUGGUAUAUGAUGGACCCGCGUCUGAUUAGCUGGUUGGUGAGGUAACGGCCCACCAAGGCGACGAUCAGUAGCCGGCCUGAGAGGGUGGACGGCCACAUUGGGACUGAGACACGGCCCAAAUUCCUACGGGAGGCAGCAGUGGGGAAUAUUGGACAAUGGGGGAAACCCUGAUCCAGCGACGCCGCGUGAGUGAAGAAGUAUUUCGGUAUGUAAAGCUCUAUCAGCAGGGAAGAAAAAAAUGACGGUACCUGACUAAGAAGCCCCGGCUAACUACGUG
rnacentral:rRNA from 1 species